rnacentral:pre_miRNA from 1 species
GUGGCUGGCGGCUGGGUGCCUUCUACUGGUGCUGUGCAGAGGCUUUCCCUAAGGCUGCUGUGAGCCUGUAGGGUUCCCCCUAGGCUACUAAGCUGG